CAGGCUGCAGAAGGAAUAAAGUUAGAAGCCACAACUGACAAAAUGAAUUUUUUCAGGCAGCCCCAUAAAUAUGAAAAUUAGACUACAGGUUGGAGCCAAUAAGUCCAAGGAAGAAUAUGACAAAUAAAGUACAGCUGCACAUCGUAUUUGUAAUAACACAGCUUAAUUAGAAAGUGAUUAGAAAGCAUAAUGGUUAUCAAAUGAUGCUUAUGCCGGAGAUGCAUUGCAACUCAGCUGCAAGUGCUAUGAGACCCUUUGCUUCCGCACAAAAGCUUAGAUGAAAUUCCUCUGUUAUAGGCAAGCUGCCAGUUAUUAUUUUUUUACUGUGAUAAAAUGCUCAAAAUUUCAGCAUUGAUAACUUCCUUACUGUUCAGUGCAAAAAAUUAUUCUGCUUUUAUAUAUAGCAUUGUAUAAAUCUGUUUGCUCCAGUCCAUGACUAAUAUUUCCACUUGAGUGCUUUCCAAGUAAGUUUUUUUAAAUACUUUCUUCUUUUUAACUAGAUCUUUGGGAUUGCUGAUCUUUUUGGUCCAACACCUGAAAAUACUUGCAAACUCAUAACUCCUGACUGAGAUGGAAUACAGCUUUUGUAAUAUAUCCAGUAUUGGCUUACAGAUCUCAAGUGACAGGAGAAAGGUUCAUGUCUAGAAACUACCCAUCAGACAGCAACCUGCAGCAAACAAGCAGUUCAACAUGUCAUGAACAAUAUUCAUUUAUAUGUUGCAGAUGAAUGUUUGUGAUUGAUUCUCAAACAACAGAACAGGAUCUGUGAAGAGUAAGAACAGUAAAUGUAAGAACAUUAUGUACCCUGGCAAGUGGAGGCACCAGAAAGAUGCAGAGCAACAAACCUGUUAAAGAAUAUAAGGUGAGCUUGAGGUAAUCACAUGGGUGUAGAUGGAUCUCUCCUAUCUAGUCCCAUCAAGAUCUCACAUCUUCCUCUCUCCUGUCCCUGACAAUGAAUACAAAAACCACUGGGAAAAAUAUUUGGUGCCAAAAAUGGUUAGCAACUAAAUACAGCAGAAACGGUAAUUCAAUAUCAUAUGUGAAUUAAUUGGAUCAUAUUGUAAACAAACUUGAGAAGUUUGCAGAUUUUGUUUGUCUUCACUGUGUAAUAUGAACAAAAGCUCAUACAUUGCAAGCA